rnacentral:lncRNA from 1 species
UCCAGUACUGGUGUCCGCAUGUUCUUUUCGGGGAGAAGCAACAUCUGGAUUGAGAGAGUGUGACAAUUAAUGAUAUGCUGAGCUUAGGAAUAUGCAGCAUAAUAAUAGAGAUGGGUCAAAGUAUCCGUCGAGCAGCAUUAAUGAUCCAACAGAUGAUCGCUUUGGGCAUGGGAAAAAACCACAUGACUUGGUCGGGCAACCGUUCACUUCGAUGUAAACUGAUGAACAACAUAUUUUCAAAUCCAAGUGGCCAUCAAAUAAUUAAACAUAAAUCCACGACUCCUAGUUGAUGCAUUCUGAAGGCUCGUUUAGCUCCAAAUGUUAGUCACAGAGACCACGAGAAAACGUUUGGUUCACUAUAAAUGUGGCUAACAAAUAAUAGUCAACUGGAGUAAACUAGGAUGGAUCACCUAGUUCAACCCACCAAUUGGUCCUUCUCAGAUUUCACCUACUGCUAGGUGGAUUAAAUAGUGGCAAAUUAGCAAUCAUGGCAAGAAAAGCAACAACUGUCCACUCUUUCAUAGGCACAAAUGCAAAGGAGAAUACUUUGGAUGCCUAAUAAUAAUAUCCACACUCAACCAACCACCCCCUAAGUUCCUACCUUACUGGAUGAAACUGAUUCCAUUCGAG